GGUCCCUAUCUGCCGUGGGCGCGGGAGAAUUGAGGGGGGCGGCGCCUAGUACGAGAGGACCGGAGUGGACGCAUCACUGGUGUUCGGGUUGUCAUGCCAAUGGCACUGCCCGGUAGCUAAAUGCGGAAGAGAUAAGUGCUGAAAGCAUCUAAGCACGAAACUUGCCCCGAGAUGAGUUCUCCCUGACUCCUUGAGAGUCCUGAAGGAACGUUGAAGACGACGACGUUGAUAGGCCGGGUGUGUAAGCGCAGCGAUGCGUUGAGCUAACCGGUACUAAUGAACCGUGAGGCUUAACCUUACAACGCCGAAGGUGUUU
rnacentral:rRNA from 1 species